rnacentral:rRNA from 1 species
CCCUUAGAUGUCCGGGGCUGCACGCGCGCUACACUGACUGGCUCAGCGUGUGCCUACCCUACGCCGGCAGGCGCGGGUAACCCGUUGAACCCCAUUCGUGAUGGGGAUCGGGGAUUGCAAUUAUUCCCCAUGAACGAGGAAUUCCCAGUAAGUGCGGGUCAUAAGCUUGCGUUGAUUAAGUCCCUGCCCUUUGUACACACCGCCCGUCGCUCCUACCGAUUGAAUGCUCAGGUGAGCCAUUCGGACUUUCAUCAUGCUGGUUUCCAGUUUUGAUGAAGGAAAGUCUUGCGAACCUUAUCAUUUAGAGGAAGGAGAAGUCGUAACA